GCCCUUUUAGUUUAGUGGUAAAACAUUUCUUUCGUAAAGAAAAAACAAUAGUUCGAUUCUGUUAAAGGGCA
rnacentral:tRNA from 2 species